UCUGUUCCGGGCCCGCCUCUUCCGGGCAGGCCGGCCCCCCGCCGUGGAGGGCGCAGCUCGGCCCCGGAAGGGCUUCGACGCGCGCCCGGGGGCGGCUGGCUGCUGACCCCCCACAGGCCUUAGCAAGGUUUGGGAGCUAGGGUCGGGCUGGGAUUACAGCUGGAAACCCAUGUGGGAUCACCGCGAACCACAGGCCUCUGCCAGCAGGAAGAGGGCUAGGAAGAGCCCUGCCCGAGCCGAAGCACGUGCCGGCCUGGCAGCUGAUGAGCCCUCGAGCAUGAAUAAGGAAUAGGCGCGGGCUGGGAUCCUGGGGGGAAAUCCUUUUCAGGUCGCACCAGCCACGCAGCUCUGCCACUGGGGGACUCUUCCCGAGGAGGCUAGGCGAGUCCUGCCCACCCCAAAACUUGGUUUGUGAAUGCCAAGCUGUGAGCUCACAGGCCCCAGGCCUUACUUCACAUUUUUGCCCCCAUCUCUUGAUUUCCAGCCAGAAAAAAAUGUUGCAAUUAUACCUGGGUAGUGAGGAAUUCAGCUUCUAAAAGCAAUCUCGGAGGCUGAUUAGGUGUGCCUGACCACUUAGGAGUUCAGAUGUAGUCACAUGACUCCAAGACUUCCCCUAGCACAUGACUGGGGGACAGCGGGGAGAGGAGCAACUUAUUUUUCUAUGGUCUCCAUUGCUAGUGGUCUGUCUUGCUGCGAUGAGCUUUGCAGUCCUGCUUAUUUAGUGCUGAACAUUGGUUUGUGACUCUCUAUUAAUUUCUAGCAUAAAAAGGUGACAGAGAUGCCUGGGGAAGAUGUAAGUGGAAGCGCUGAUUCUAAGGAGGAUCUAUUCAGUGCUUUUCUGCAUGAAUUGCAAUGGUUAGAGAAAGAAGGCUUCCAAAAGGAGGAGUCAGUUUGGGGCUGCAUUGCUGGUAGGCUUCAUAGAAAUACACCAAAGCCAAUGUGGGGACAGUCCAUGCUGUUUUUCAUGCACAAUUCUGUACAACACUCUCGUACCAGUUUCCCAUUCUAUGGGGUCACUUAAAUAGCCAAACUCUUUGUCCAUCCAUUGUUGUUUCAAGCCUAGAGUCUUCGCAACAUGAAGACGAAUUUCUUGCACAGUUUAUAUUAGCUUUUGGACCCCCACGUCCGUUAGAACCUUUGGUUGACAAUCAUCUAUGAUCCCGGAUUCAGUCCACCAAUUUUCUGAGAGGCGCAAAUUAUUUGUCUGCUGGUCAUUGCCAAAUGAGGUGUGGCUCCAUGGACCACCACACUGCCUUUGAUGGCCAUCAAAAUUAAUGGUAAGUUCAUAUCCCAGUUGUUUCCACUUGUCUGUACUACUUUGCGUAUAGCUGUUCUCAGUGUUUUGUUAGACCUCUCUACUUGUCCAAAUGACCUGUUUUGGGGAUGACCUGCUAUAUGGAGAUGUUGCUUAAUUCUAAAUGCCAAGCAUAUUUCUUUUGUGAUUUGUCCAACAAAAUGAGGACCCUGAUCUGAGUUAAUACAAUGAGGAGUUCCCCAUCUAGAGAAUACUACCUCGAUUAGUAUCCUCUCUGUGGUCUUGGCAGUAUUAUUCCUGGUGGGAAAGGCUUCGAUCCAUUUUGUAAAUGAAUCUACUAUAACUAAACAAUAAAGAUUGCCUCUUUCUGUCUUUGGCAAUACCCCAAUAAAAUCUAUUUGAAGAUGGGUCCAUUGUUCCUCAACAUGUUGGUGUCUUAAAGGUCCUUUAACCACCUUAUUUCAUAGAUUUCAUAGACAUCAGGGCCGGAAGGGACCUCGGAAGAUCAUCGAGUCCAGCCCCCCGCCCAAAGGGCAGGACGUCAGCUGGGGUCAUAGGAUCCCAGCAAGAUAAGCAUCCAGUUUCAUCUUGAAGGUGUUCAAUGAAGGCGCUUGAACAACCUCCGGCGGCAGGCUGUUCCAGACCUUGGGGGCUCGGACAGUAAUGAAGUACUUCCUUAUGUCCAGCCUGAAACAGUCACAGAGCAGUUUGUGACUGUUCGAUCUUGUCAUCCCUUGGGGCGCUCUGGUGAACAGAUGUUCCCCCAGAUCCUGAUGAGCACCCCUGAUAAACUUAUAGGUAGGCACCAGAUCGCCCCGAGCCUCUGCUUUUCCAGGCUGAAGAGUCCCAUAGCUCUCAGCCUGUCAUCUUAAGGUCUGUUUUCCUGACCUCUGAUCAUGUGUGUGGCUCUUCUCUGGACUCUCUCAAGCUUUUCCACAUCCUUUUUGAAUUGUGGAGCCCAAAACUGGAUGCAGUACUCCAGCUGCAGCCUCACCAGGCCAAGUACGACAGGAGAAUGACGUCCUGGGAUUUGCUUGAGAAGCAUCUAUGGAUGCAAGCCAGUAUUUUGCUCGCUGUACUAGCUGCAGCAUCACAUUGAAGGCUAAUGUUUAUCUUGUGGUCAAUGAUGACCCCCAAGUCCUUUUCAUCCAAAGUGCUAGCCAGUGUAGCACUGCUGAGCCUAUAAGGAUGCUGCAGGUUUUUCCUCCCAAAGUGGAGAACCUUGCAUUUUUCGGUGUUAAAUGCCAUCAGGUUCUUGUCUGCCCAUUUCUUGAGCCUGUCAAGGUCAGCCUGCAUUGCCCUCCUGUCCUCAGGUGUGGACGCUUUACCCCAAAGUUUGGUGUCGUCUGCGAACUUGGCCAGCCCUCUUCUGAUGCCAAUGUCCAUAUCAUUAAUGAAGAUGUUGAAGCAUAUAGGCCCAAGGACAGAGCCUUGAGGAACCCCACAGGUCACAGGGCAAAUGCCCAUGAUCGUGUGUGUGAGAGAGUAAUUCAUGCUGAACACUUUUAGGUACAACCCAGAUGGGAGGAUCUUCUUCCUUUCUGGCUAAAACUAGUUUGGAGGACUCCUGCCAAAUACUCCAGGUUCUAAGUUUCUUUUGCCCCACUAAUUUUUGAAUUUCAACAUCCCUUUUCUGUUAGCCAGUUAAAUCAAUUGGAUCGGGGAUGGUGGGAGUAUUCAUAGAAUCAUAGAAGUAGGGUCGGAAGGGACCUUGUAGAUCUUCAAGUCCGACCCCCUGCCUGGGCAGGAGGAAAAUUGGGCUCAAAUGACCCCAGCCAGGUAGGCAUCAAGCCUCUUCUUAAAGACCCCCAGGGUAGGAGCCAGCACCACUUCCCUUGGAAGUUGGUUCCAGAUCCUAGCCGCCCUGACUGUGAAGUAGUUCUUAUGGAUGUCUAAUCUAAACCUACUCUCCAACAGCUUGUGGCCGUUAUUCCUUGUUAUCCCUGGGGACGCUAGGGGAAACAAGGUCUCCCCCAAACCCUUCUGGUCCCUCCUGGUGAGUUUAUAGACAGUCACCAGGUCCCCCCUCAGCCUUCUCUUGUGAAUGCUGAACAGGUUCAGGUCCUGUAGCCUCUCAUUGUAGGGUCUGCCCUGCUGUCUGUAUAUUUUGAGACGGGAGAUCUCCAUCUGAGGCAUAAUCCAUUCAGGGCCAGAUUUAGCUCCCACCUUUGCAGCAGCAUCUGCCUGAUUGUUGAAAUCGAAUUUGGGUCUACCUUUGUGAUCUACUUUUCCCAGUCGAACUUGAUUGCUAUGCUACAAGGUGCCAGGCUAGUUGCAGUUUCAACAGGUGGGCAAUAGGCUUACCAUCUGACAAUUUGAAUCCUGAGAGACAGUCUAUCAAUGCAUGAAUGAUCCAAUCGCUAUCUGAAAACAUGACUACAUCAUGCCACAAUGGUAGCAACAAUCUCAGCUGAGUGUGCUCAGUGGGGUGAACAACUCCCACUUACAACCUUUUCCACACUUUGAUUAGAUGACACUCUUACUGCAGUGUAACCUGUAUAUGCUGUUCCAUCGGUAUGGUAGGAUGACCCAUCUACAAACCAGGUGAUGACAUUAGGAUCCUGAGGAGGAUAGGUUUCUCCUCCUGUAUACCAGGCAUUUUCUGGUUCAGGAUUAUCUAUGGACACAGGAAAUAGGCAUUCAUGAUUAUCACCAUCUAUACGUAGCCCAUAUGGGGCCACUGGGGUGAUUCCCAUGACUUCAGUGUUAAUGCCAGUUUGGCAGCAUAAUGAUCCACUUUGCAAUAUCUGGAGAGGACGCUCCACUCUUUGGUUUUUCCAGAUAGUAUGUACUUGAUAGGUGUAUGUGAUGUUUUAAGUGUAAUGGGCUCCAUGCUCAGGAGGUACCUCCAGUGAUGUACCGUCCACACAAGUGCCAGAAUUUCUCGUUCGCAUGAAGAAAAUUCUCUUUCAACAGCUGUCAGGGUCCUGGAAGCAUAGUCCACUGAUCUCUUACGGCUGCCAUGAUCCUGUGAGAGACUAGCUAUAAUAGAACAGUUAGUUGUUGCUAAUUCAAGUAUAAGGGGACUAUUUACAUGAGGCUAUGCCAAAGUUGGGGCCUUUGUGACAGCAAUUUUAAGCUGUUUAAUGUCCUUGUAGCAGAAAGCCCCCUUUUCCUCUUGCCUGCAUUUGCUCUCACUCUCUUUGGAUAUGUUUCCCUCUUUCUACCUUUUCUUCCUUCCUCUCUCUUUCACUUUAAGAUAAGGAAUUGUGUUUUAAAAUUUGUAUGUGUGCAUUUUGUAUCUCCCCUUGUAGUUUGGUAUUUUUAUCUAUUUGUGUGCCAUGGCAUUGGUAGCUUAUAUUUUAUACUCCUCACCUUUCAACUUUCAACUAAAUGUGUUUUAGUAAGUUAUACAUUGUAACAAUGUUAACAAGGGUAGGAACCAAACUGUCCUUCACUGUAUCAGGCUGGCCCCUGAAAGAGGGAGUGAAUCAGUGAUUGAAUGUGUAACAAGGUAGCACACAGCAAUUAACACCUGGAAAGCUGCAGAUCAGCCAAGGAAGAACUCAAUAGAAGACAAUGUAGCAACCGGGAAAUCUCUAAACGUCACUGAUCAAGGGCUAGAAGCCCUGGCCUGAGUUAAUCAACGCUGGGGACCAACUUUUGGGCUGAGUAUCUCCAGAUCAACCGCUCCCAGAGCCCUAUUCGAAAUUCAUCAACGGACUCCCAAACCUGCACGUACAUGCGGGCGACCCCUGGGGCUGAUAGAUGCCGUCCAGUAGCCACCGGGGGGGGGGGGGGGGGGGGAAGUCCCACGAGGGUCAAUGACCCCUGGAUUGGGCAAACCUGAAAACUGGGGAGUCACCAAAGUCUGCCAGGGACAGAUAAAAGGCAGUGAAAAGUGACCCUCAGGGGCGCCCUCUUGAUCUCCAACUUGACCAGACCUGUCCAGCCAGAAGGACCAGCCGGCGACCCCCUUCUGGAAGAUAACACCACGCUGAAAGAAGCCUCAACGACAGACUGCAGUGCUUGUAGGAUAGGUAUACCUGACUCUGUAGCCUGUUACUAUGCGUGUGUGCAUGUGUGUGUCUGUGUGUGUGGGGUCCAGCCCCAAGGUUUAUGAUUACAGUGUUUCAAUCCGCCUAAUAAACUAGAAUUUUAAGGAUCCCGAGUUGGACAUUUGUAGCUAACAUUAUUUGUUGGAGAACGCAGGCAUUCUAGGAUUAUUAGCAGGUUGGUAAUUGGGGAGACUGUGUCUCCAGAUAGAACCCACGUCCAUGGAGGUGGGUGGGCAAUAGUCACCCAAGGGGAUGGACUAGGAUUUAGACUCACCCAAGGGGGUGGGCAGACUCAAGGAGGGUCUGGAUUUAGUAGUCACCCAAGGGGGUGGACAUAUCUCAAGGAAGGGAUUUGGUUGUAGAACUGCAGGGACAGGGACAGAGUCGGUUGGGAGCGCGAGGGCUCAAGGAAACUGACAGGCUUGAGGCAUGUUGAGGGAAAUGUCUUUGUUUACGAAAAAAACCCCUAAGGUUGGAGCAGGAGGCCAAGAAGAUAAGUGGGUACAGUGCGGAAGGAGGAAAUUUCCCCUCUCCAUAGGGAGAUUCUGAAGGGUGGACCCAGCCCAUGGAGGGAGGAUGUGUGCACCCCAGGCUUUUCCAUAGGGGACAUCGAAUCCCAAUUUGAAAGAUUUUGCCUUUGUGAAAAACCCUUGGUUCAAAGGCAACACAGUGCCUUGGUCUGGCUGCUAUGGCAUGCUGUAAAAACAGCAGUUGAGGAAAAAGCUCUGCGAGCCUCUGAAAUUGAGGAAAAGGAGGAGCUAAUCCAAAUUCUAAAAGAUAGAUGUAUUCAAUUGGAAACCAGGAAUCAGACUCUAAAGGGGUUGUCUCGGAACUUGAUUUAUUUUUCCCAAUUGCUCAUUUUCAUUUUCCAAGACAAUGCCCAACAAUUGGAAUUAUUGACCAAGAAAAGGCUAGCCGAGAAGCCUUGCAAAAGUUGGUAAAAACAAUGGCUAAAGACCAAGCUGAGAAGGGAGCCAAGGCCAACCAUGGCCCCUGUCUAAAUACCAUUAACCGUUUAAAAAAGGAACUCCAGGAGUGCAGUCUGCAAGUAGCAGCUGUCAUCCGGGGAGACCAAGCCAGGGAUCCAGACAUCCCCUUCAAUCCAGGAGAGAUUUGGGGUGGGGAGAUAUGGGGAGACCCAGAGGAUGCAGGGGAGCCCUCUCCUGAAGACCCCAAGUCAGAUCAGGAAAGGACCCUGGUGCCUGAGGUGAGCGCAAUCACGCGGACCUCAGUCACUUGGGAUGCUCAGGGAAAACCCACAGAAACCACACAGGUAACGGUCCCCCUCAGUGGAGCUGAUCUAGCAGCCCUGGGCAAGACCCUGGGAUCUGCUAACAUUAGGAAUUUGGGACAGUGGUUGCAGAAAUCCCUGAAUGUAGUGGAGUGUGAAACUCUGAGUGUCCGGGAAUGGCACUGCCUACUAAGGGCUUGUGCCACCCCAGAGAUUCAGGCAGCUAUGAAUCGGGAAGACAGCUUUGGGGGAGACAAUAUUCUCCAGAGCAUAGUGGAUUUGGGGAUCAGUUUGGGAAGAAAGACAUUUAAGGGACAGUUUGGGGCUAGCCACCAGACACCUGGGGAACAUGUUAGGGUCUAUGUGAUCCGGUGUGUUAUGUUGGGGACAUCGGACAUAAGAAGUAUAGAUUACCCUCCUGGGUUUUGGAAGGAGGUACAGGAAGGCAUGCAUCAGCCCAUAAUUGGACUGUUGGGACUGCUCCGAGAGACUGGGAGAUAUGUGCUGGGAGAAGUCCUAGCCUGGGCUCAGGAUGCAGAGAGGUUAAUUGGACGUCAAGGGGGUGCGAUUGCAGCCACCCAGUUCAGAGAAAAGCUUAAUGACACACCAAAUUAUAUGGUUACCUAUUCUAAUGGAAGUGCCUACCCCAAAACUGAUAGGGGGGUUGGGGGUCCAAAUUAUCGCCCCAGCCCACACUGGGUUAACCCAAGGGUAUCAAAGGAAGAGAAGGGGAAAAUGGGAUUCGGUCAGCAGUGUGGAAGUUUUUAAAGCAGCAUGGAGAACCGAGAGGGAAAUGGCAUGGAAAGCCUCUAGCCGAGCUGCUUAUCAGAAUGGCAGAGCUGACUGGGGAGGGAGCAGCACCUCCCCUUUCUAACAGGGUAGCAGCCUCAGCCCUAGUCUCUGAGAAGCACUGACGGAGCCCCCGUAAUGGGACCCCUGAGCAAAGCCCUGGCUCAUGGGAAAAAUUGGGGACCCUUGAUUGGGAUCCAGGUGGCAGACCCCGAAUACCUGUUACGGUGGGAACUCAGGGGCAUACCAGUGCACUCCUGAACACCAGGCUGCACUAAAUGUAUUCGGGAGGAAAUGGGACCUAAAUCAGGAAAAUGGGUACAUGUGUCCCAAGAAACUGUUUAAGGGGGCAGAAUAGAUCUAACCCUGAAUUUAGCCUUGUUAAUAGGAUUCCUUGUGUCAUGAGGAGAGCAUCCCAGUGACCCAGCUUGGAGAAAAGAAAAAAAAGUGAGCCACCAACCACCUGACCCUUGAGGAACAGGGCAACCAAUCUUUUAAUCCUGCCGGCCACCCUUCUUGGCUAGCAGGAAGGAACGGCUCUGAGCCAUUGGAAAAUACGCAUCGGACGGGCUGAUCAGUGCCCACCCCGAUGCUGAGGCAGGAAAAGGCCAAAAAAAAAAAAAAAUCCUCAGUUAGGAUGGCCACCCUCCUGUAGGUAACUGCUCCACUUUUGCAGUAUAAAAGAAAAGCACCCCAAGAAGGGAAAAUGAUGUGUGCACUGCCACUGCACAUAUCAGCAUUGCACUUUGUAAAUAUGAAUAAUCAGCCACUGCAAGGAGUUUUCCUUGGCAGGUUUGUGUGUGUUUGUUUUCUUUUGCAGAAACCACAGUGUAGUCAAAAGUGACCGACAAACCAUGAGGCCUCACUAGCAUCAGCAGCGUCUUCCUCAUCACAGCCAUGGCAAAAAUUGUCUUGUCUGUUUGUGUUGUCUUGUUAUAUGUUUAGUGUUUGUGUCACAACCCAAGGGUGUGAUUUUUUGUGUGUGUGUGCUUCGGCACUGCUAAAUUAUUUCCCGCCAUGAGGAGCUUUCUUUGCAGGGUGCACUUCUCAGUUGCAAAGAGAAAUGCACGGUGCAAAGGAGUUCCCGCCACCCACAUGCAAAUUUAUGUCCCACUAUUAGCUGUUUCUAAAUUAUUCCCACGUGGCGGCUAGCGAUUGGCUUGCUAGCCAUAUAAGAGGCUUGAGUGGUUUCCGUCCAAGUUGGAGGGCUCCACAACCAUCUGGAGGAGGAGGACUUCACGUCCUGUGAAGAACUCUAAGCGCUGCAGAGCCUAACUGACCCAGCGUGUGCCUUAAGAAGGCUAUAGGGGUCUGAUCAACCUCUGGCCUCUCCCCAUCACUGAACAAUCCCUCGACGAACCCUUUCCCUGCGCGCAAGUUCCACGGAGCCUAGCAAACUUCGUGUGAGUGUAUCCAGAGCUCUGUCCAAGUUAUUUCAAGAAGCUCGAGUUUUCAGUGGCUCUCUUUCGAGUUUGUGUUGUGGAGCCUAGCAAACUCCACGUGUCUGUCUGUAACUGCAACUCAAGCAAGUUUUCCUGCCUGCACCGCGACCAUCUACGGUGUAAGUAAAAUAAUCUUUAAUCAACUGCUACGCAUCCGUGCCUAAUUCUAGUCCGCCAGCCUGCAUUCCCCGACUCGCGUGCAAGGGCUGCUGGCCACAGCCCGCCAUGCGCCCCCGAGGGCCUCGGACUGCUCCCGGCCCGCACAGUUUGUUUGUUUGGUUUGUUUUAAGUUGUCACAGUUUAAAUACAUAUGAUAUCAUAAAAAUAUAAUAAGAGUAAUUGGUAAUACCUCCUCUAUAAAUUGGACCUGUCUGUGGAUCCCAGACCAGAACACUUCUGUCCGGUUGGACUGGAAAGUUGUUCUGAUAUUUGAAACAAGGGCAGCAAUUCUCAAAAGGUCUUAUAUUCCACUUGGUUAGCAAAAGGAUAUUUAUUAAGGGUCAUGUGUACUUUUUGGGCGGGGGUUAGUUUUGUUUUUUCUCUGUACUUCUCUUAAGGAUUUAAAUGCUAUUUAGAAUAUCAGUAUAACAAGAUGUGUGUAAAAAAAAAAACACAAAACCUGCAUUCAAAGUCAUAUUUUAAUAAGCAAAGAGACAACUAUACCAUUGUAACUGUUCAAAUCAACCUCGUUAUGUUAUUUUUCUCUCUCCGCCCCUCAAGGCUUUUCUCUUUCAAUAUCUUUUAACUGCCUAAGUUUUAACUUUAAACCAGCUGAAGAUGACACACCUCCUGUCUAUAUAGCUGAACAAUGGUGUUCAAACAAUAUAGUGACAUCACCCUUGUGUAAGGCCGAUGUCAAGGGGGGGAACAAUGUAGCAGAAAGCCCCCUUUUCCUCUUGCCUGCAUUUGCUCUCACUGUCUUUGGAUAUGUUUCUCUUUUUCUACCUUUUCUUCCUUCCUCUCUCUUUCACUUUAAGAUAAGGAAUUGUGUUUUAAAAUUUGUAUGUGUGCAUUUUGUAUCUCCCCUUGUAGUUUGGUAUUUUUAUCUAUUUGUGUGCCAUGGCAUUUGUAGCUUAUAUUUUAUACUCCUCACCUUUCAACUUUCAACUAAAUGUGUUUUAGUAAGUUAUACAUUGUAACAAUGUUAACAAGGGUAGGAACCAAACUGUCCUUCACUGUAUCAGGCUGGCCCCUGAAAGAGGGAGUGAAUCAGUGAUUGAAUGUGUAACAAGGUAGCACACAGCAAUUAACACCUGGAAAGCUGCAGAUCAGCCAAGGAAGAACUCAAUAGAAGACAAUGUAGCAACCGGGAAAUCUCUAAACGUCACUGAUCAAGGGCUAGAAGCCCUGGCCUGAGUUAAUCAACGCUGGGGACCAACUUUUGGGCUGAGUAUCUCCAGAUCAACCGCUCCCAGAGCCCUAUUCGAAAUUCAUCAACGGACUCCCAAACCUGCACGUACAUGCGGGCGACCCCUGGGGCUGACAGAUGCUGUCCAGUAGCCACCGAGGGGGGGGAGGGGGGGAAGUCCCACGAGGGUCAAUGACCCCUGGAUUGGGCAAACCACAAAACUGGGGAGUCACCAAAGUCUGCCAGGGACAGAUAAAAGGCAGUGAAAAGUGACCCUCAGGGGCGGCCUCUUGAUCUCCAACUCGACCAGACCUGUCCAGCCAGAAGGACCAGCUGGCGACCCCCUUCUGGAAGAUAACACCACGCUGAAAGAAGCCUCAACGACAGACUCCAGCGCUUGUAGGAUAGGUAUACCUGACUCUGUAGCCUGCUACUGUGUGUGUGUGUGUGUGUGUAUGUGUAUGCAUGUGUGCAUGUGUGUGUGUGUGUGGGGACCAGCCCCAAGGUUUAUGAUUAUAGUGUUUCAAUCCGCCUAAUAAACUAGAAUUUUAAGUAUCCCGAGUUGGACAUUUGUAGCCAACAUCCUCAUAAUUUUCGGGACCCCACUUCCAGGGCACUCCUUUCUUUAAGAGAUGGUACAGGGGUGCUGCAUUUUCUGCAAAGUUUUCAAUAAUCAACAAUCAUCAAACACAUCCCACAUUUGGGUAACAAAACAGUGGCAAUAUACAGGGGAAUUAUUGAACCCCUGUGGUAGGCAUGUGAAAGUGUAGUGUUGUUUGUUAAAAGAAAAGGCAAAUUUGUACCAACAACUUUCUGCAAGUAGUAUUGUGAAGAAUGCAUUCACAAAAUCCAGGACCAAGAACCACGGGGCACCACUGGAAAUUGCAGCCAUUACCUCUGAAUAUUUCACAACAAUGGGUGCCAAAGGUGGAGUGUGGCAAUUCAACACUCAAUAAUCCACAGUUAAGUGCCAGGUUAUUCCAUCUGCUUUCCUCACCAGCCAGAUCAGUGAAUUACAGGUGCUUCGAAUCUCAAUGAUCACAUUCUGUUCUAAUAAAGCAUUGAUGGUGACUUUUGUACUGGACACAGCUUCAUUGAGAAAUUUAUAUUGGCAUUGGAGUGGAGGGUCGGUUCCCUGAACCCUUACCUCCUGAUCACUUCUCCGACAGAAGAGCUUUGACCUACCCCAGACCAAUUGGAAUUUACUGGCCAUCUCAAGUAUGUCUCCUUGCCAUGCAUGCAGGGACAACUCUUCACUUGUUUUUAUCAUAGCACAGUGGAGACAGGCAGGUACCUCUAGAAUCUCUGCCUGUUGUGGCUUCAAACCUCCAAUUCAAAUUUCCCUAUUGAGCAAGUCAAUCGCCAUGCCAAACUUCUGCAUGAUGUCCAUGCCCAAUGUUGUUCCUAUACCACCCAGUUUCAACAAGCCAAAUUUAGACACUUCAUUUUGGUUUCCAAUUCAGAAUGGCUUCAGGUCAGUGAACCCCACUGAACUUGCAUUCCCAUUGAAGCCUUCUAAUCUUUUACAGGUCACAGGUGUCCAGUUUUUGAAGACCCUGCUCUCAUUGCUAACCAAUGUGAAUGUGGCAUCUGUGUCCAAUAACAUGUUUUGUCUUCUUUCACACCUCAGUGUUUCUUGUUGGUCCCCAAAAGCCACUGGGAUCAAUGACUGUUCCCAAUCAUCAAAAUUUAAUGGUGCCAUGGUCACCUGGGGAGGCCUGAGAAACACUAGGCUGUCUCAGUGAUCUGAGACUGAGGAAACACUCCUUGGAGGCUCUGCCUCAACCUUUUCUACACUACUAGAAUUAUAUCUAGCUUUCACAACCUUCUUCUCACAAUGAUCUGUAAGCCUCUUUAACAUAUCUUAACAUAUUCUCAUAUUGUAACAGUUCCUUCCACACAGCGUACCUUAAGUUAGAAGGACGCUUCUAUCAAUCAAAAUACCUUUUUCCCUCCUGGGAACCAUCACAAUUUCUCCUCGAUUCAAGUUGCUUCCGACUCAGGUUAUCCUUAACAAAACACACCCUCUAGUAUCAUUGCCACUUGCAGGACUGGAGUUGCCUCCGCUACUAUUCUACUCAUUGGGCUUAGGCUUUCAUUUCCAAUAGCUUUCCCCCUUACCCUGCUUCCCUUCAGAAGCCUUUGCGCUAACUACUGCAAUCUUUCCUUUAUGGGAAGGAUCUUGCUCUGAUUGAUUCAUUUCAUGCCCCUCACAGGCUCAGCGAGCCAAUUCCUCAAGUUCCAAUUCGGCAGCUCCAACUCCCAGGUAGGUUUUCAGCUGCCUGGUUAGCCGUUGUAAUAAUGUUGACUACAAAAGACCAACUCACAGGAUCACCAUACAAUUCUAGUUUAUUAGACGGGUGCAAAAGUCAGAUCAUAAAUCUUGGGGCUGAAACCCUGAAACACACACACAUUCACGCACACACACACACCCACACCCACAACACCUAGCUAUGAAUGCUAAGCACCAGUGUCAAGAUAUACCUAUCCCCAAGUGCUGGAGUCCGCCGCUGAUAGCCAGUCGAGGCUUCUUUCAGUGUGAUGUUGCUUCGGAAGGGGGUCGCCGGCUGGUCCUUCUGGGUGGGCAGGCAGGAUGCUGGUCGGGUCAAAGAGGGCAGCAUUGGAGUUCAUCCUUCACAGCCUUUUAUCCCUCUCUGGCAGACUUUUGUGACUCCCCAAUUUUCAGGCUUACCCAAUCUAGGGGUCAUUGACCUUGUGAGAUGUCCCCCUUGGUAGUUGCUGGAUGGCAGGUGUCAGUCCCAGGGGUCACAUCUGCAGGUACGUGCAGUCUCAGGUGUCCAUUGAUGAAGUUUGAUUAAUUCACUGCUGUGAUGAAUAGGGCUCUGGGGGCAGCUGAUCGGGGGUUGAAGGUAUUCAGUCCCAAGAGUCAGUCUUCACUGUUGAUUAGUUCAAACCGGGGCUUCUGUACUGUUAACAGUGAAGUUUCAGGGAGUUACUGGCUUUCCUCUCCUUAGCCUGUGGUUUCCUAGGUGUUAAUUGCCGCUCCUUAACUUGUUAUCCUGUCUAGCUACUGUGUUACGCAAUCAAUCAAGAUUCAUUCAGGGACCAGAAGCUGGGGUUCAAUUCAUGCCCUUACUAACAUUGGUACAUGGUGUGUGGGCCGGGAGCGGUCCGAGGCUUUUGGGGGUGCGUGGCGCGGGCUGUGGCCAGCAGCCCUGGCAUGUGGGUCGGGGAAUGCGGCACGACAGACUAGAAUUAGGCACGGACUCGUAGCGGUUGAUUAAAGAUUAUUUUACUUACACCGUAGAUGGUUGCGGUGCAGGCAGGAAAAACUUCGCUUAAGUUGUAGUUACAAACGAAAAGAAAAUUCGCUCGAACAAGACCCGUAGAAAACUCGAGCCUCUUGAAACAACUCGGACAGAGCUCUGGAUACACACACACACGAAGCUUGUUAUGGUAUGUCAAGGGAUCAGGCGGCGACGGGGAGAGGCUAGAGGUUGAUCAGGCCCCUGUAUCCUCCUCUAAGGCACACGCUGGGUUCGUUGAACUCUACAGCGCACUUAGAGUUCUCCACAAGAUGGUUGUGGAGUCCUCCCUUGCGGGGUUCUCCUCGGAGUUCUCCAACUUGGGCGGAAACCCCUCAAGCCUCUUAUACGGCUAGCAAGCCAAUCGCUAGCCGCCACGUAGGAAUAAUUUAGAAACAGCCAAUAGUGGGACACAAAUUUGCAUGCGAGUGGUGGGAACUCCUUUGCACUGGGGUUUUCUCCAUGCAACUGAGAAUUGCACCGUGCAAAGAAAGCUCCUGUGGCGGGAAAUAAUUCUGCAGUGCCGAAGCACACACAAAAUCAUACCCUUUGGGUCAUGACACAUGGUACAACUUACUUUUAAACUUAAAGUACAUUUGUUACAAAGUUAAAAAGCAUAGUAUAUAAAAAAUAAAAGGGUAAAAUGCCAUGGCACAUACAACAAAUAGACCAAAUACAAUGGGGGGGGGGCAUACUGAUGCAGAAUACUAUUUUAUACCCAUAAAAAUCAUCUAUAAACUAUAUUUUUAUUACAAGUACACCUUAUAUUCUAUAAAAGUAAUAAUAAUAUAAUAAAAGAAGAGGAGGGAGGAAGGAAGAAAAGGUAGAAAAGAUAAAGCAUCCCCAAAAGGGGGCAAAUACUGCAAAAGGGGCUUUUUCCAUAUGGAGGGGCUUCACAUUGGAGGUGGGGGGGGCAGGCAAAAACAAGAUUUCUUGCUACACCAAUGGCACUUUAAAGGUUCUCACACUGAAGUUGGGGUAUACCCCACUCCUGCCUAGGGGCAAAUCGGCUGCCAAAUACAACAACUUCUUUUGCUCUAUGUACACCUCUGGCCUUUCUCUAACACGAUGUUUCUCAUUGUGAAACAUCACAAUGGUUGGUUUAUCAGGAAAGAAAAACCUCAGCAAUGUUUCUCUAAUUGCAUCCUUGUCUCUGAUCAAUCCAUUUUGCAUACAGACUGGCAAUGCUACAAAAUCCUUGGGGUCCAUACAUUCCUGAGCAACAUCAAUUAAAUCUUUGGCUGUAUACAUCUCUUCCCCCCCAGCAGGCAUUACAUUUGUUAGCCAGGCUACAACUGUCUCCUUUUUUAAUGGGCCUAGUUGCUUUCCCACUGCAUGAAGCUGCUCAGCAGAGAGUGGCACUAUAGUUUCCACUCCUUCCUUUGGCUGGCAUUUUACUUGUGCCUGGACAAGUCACCUCCUUGACUCUAAGCGGUGACAUUGGAGCACUAGACUCCAUGGAAGAAAGCUGAGUCUCCUGUCCAUUAGCAGCCCCAAACAUGUCAACAUAAUCACUACUGGAACUGGAACUGAGUCCACUCACACUGUCACUGUCACUAUCAUUCUCCUCUAUUUUACAGCAUGCUUUCCUCCUGGUUAGGAUAUCUCUAGCUAAGUAGCUAUUGGCAGCUUUGCUUUCAACAAGGCAAUAGUUUUCAUACAUUCUGUGUGACUAACUUUCUUUCACUGUCAUAUACUCUUAAAAGCUGCUUGGCAAGUCCUGUGCUUUUCCCCAUCAUUUACAGACUUCUUGUUCUAGGUCCUCUAUGUGCUGUUGUAAGCUUUUUACAGUCUGUUCUAAUUCCAUGAUAUGGCUUGCAUCUUUCCAACUGCUACCUAGCCAUACACUGAUCUUAGCUCUGAAUUUGGCAAUCUUAUCAUCCAUCUCCAUUCCUGAUGUAUUUAACUUGCUUUCCUUUUGCUUCUCUGUCCAAUCCAACAAAUGAUGUAGGGUAGCAUUCUUUUGACAUUCAAGCUUUGCCUUAGCAGCUCAAGCCCAAACACAGGCAAAUACUAGGGCUGUGUGAAGCUUCACCGGCUGUUCCAUUUCGAAGCUGUUUUGACUCGUUUCGAAACAGUAAAAUCAAAAUGAAUUGAAGGGCUUCGAAAGAGCCUUGAAACAAAAUGAGGCCAGUUGAAACAUUUUUAAACUUCUGAAAAGUUUCGAGUUUUGAAGCAGCAGCCAGGUGGUAGGAGGCAGGGGAGAGCCAGGGCUGUGCUGUGAGCGGCUCCACAGCCCCACGUGGUUCAGCCUGGUGGGCAGUGCAGCCCUGGCUCUCCCCGCCUCCCACCGCCGGACUGCAUUCUGUGGCACUGGCGGUGCCAAUCAGAGUGCAGCUGGCUCUGCCUGCCUCCUGAUGCUGGGCUGUGCUCUGAUCGGCUCCACCGGCCCCAUGGAGUUCAGCCCAGUGGUGGAAGGCAGGCAGAGCCAGUGCUGCGCUCUGCCUCCCGCCACUGGUCUGAAUUGCAUGGGGCUAUGAGCCACUGGGAACUGAGCCCAGUGGGGCAUAGGCGACUGGUAGGGGGUGCACGGGGCUGCACGUGCUCCCCCUGAUGGGGCCAGUGCCCCCCUGAUGGCCGACACUGAUGCUGUCGGUAGGGCUGGUGCCCCCCCGACAGGCCUGCUACCGUCGGUGGCUUCUGCAGGUGUGCCCUCCCAGAUUCUGGAGGCACCAGUCACUCAUGCGGUGGGGGGAAGUACAUCCCGCCACUGGGCUCAGUUCCCAGCAAUGGGGAACUCAGCCCGGCUGGGAGAAGCACCUCCUGGUGCCGGGCUCUGUUCCCAGCUCUGGGAAACAGCCCAGCUGGGGAAGAUGCCUCCCCCAGCCAGGCUUCAUCCCCAGUGCUGGGAAACUCAGCCCAGCUGGGGGAGGCAUGUCCUCCAACCAGGCUUCGUUUCUCAGCGCUGCGAACUGCUGGGAACUCAGCCUGGUGGUGGGAGGGCACCUCCCUCAACCAGGCUCAGUUCCUCAGUGCUGGGUCUGAGGCAGGAGCAGCCUCCUGUCAUCCAGCAGGCAGAUCAGGGACCCACCCACACCCUCAGGAGGGGCUGCAGGGGCUCUGCUGGACUCCUCCUGGGGGGUCAAGGCCCCCAAUCUGCCUGCUGGAUCAUAGGAUGCUGCUCCUGCUCCUGGGCUCCUGCUUGUCAGCAGCUUGAGGUGCAGUUUCCUAGAAACCCCUGCACCUAUAUCCUUGAAACUUGGCAGGCUUCAUGCCCUCAGAAGGGGCUACCAUCCCUGCAAGUUUAAUCGGAAUCAGGCAAGAUAUGACAAAGUUAUAGGUUGUUUCAUGCUUCCCCAUUAUAGCCUAUGGGCAAAACAGCGUCGAAACAGCAGAACCAUUUCGAUGAAACAGAACAGUGCUUUCAAAAUGAAAGAACUCAAAAUGAAACACUGUUCUGUCGAAACGGAAGUUGAAGCGAAACGCUGCUGUUUCGCACAGCCUUAGCAUUUCCAGUUUCGUGGAUGGUGCUUCCAGGGAGUGCAUAUGCACCCGUGUGCACCCCCUACAUGUUGCCAAUGAAACCGCUCUGUGUCUCCACAGCACUGACCCUUCAAAACAAUCAGCAAAUCGGUAAGCAAAACAAUUGGCAAAAUGCUAGGGACAGCACUAAAGAGCACCCUGGCACCACCUAGAGAGCACCUCAGAGCUAACAGCUUGUCAGCCACCAUCUGACAGCUUGAUUUAUAUUGAAAAGCAACACAAACUCUCACAGACACAUAGAUGAGAUUUGUUAGUGCCUGAUUAAUGGAACUAAUUAUAAAUUAACCCCUUCACACCCACCCAGGGAUGCCAAUCUGAAGCCAGGGAAAAUUACACGAGCACCGAAAGGCGGCUUCAGUUAAAUAGAUUAUAGUGGGCGAAAGGGGGCGUGAGCAGCCCAGGCUGACUCAGCUGUCACUGAAUUAGGCGGCCCAGCCUGGUUAUAGGGAUUAACACACAAGGAUACCAAAAUUAAAGUGAAAUGAAUGAAAUGGUUUAUUAUGAGACAGUAACCAUGUACAAUAAUUACAUACAACACACUAGCACAAGGAACACGAGGGGAACUAAGUACAUACAAAGCUAUACAUUACCAAUUCUAAGAUGUGAGAGCGAAGCUGAGGAAGCCCAUGAACAGCUUUGGAAACAUCAGCAGCAGUUCAGAAGCAUCAGGAGGACUGGAGACCAAUAGCGAUCACCCAACAAACUCUUUCAACAAUAGCAAGCAAGCAAUGACCACACCAGCAGCAGCCAACCAACCAACCAACCAGCAGGGAACCAGUCCCCCCCACCAACAACUCUUAUAUACUUGGGGUGCACACACCCCUCUCAGCUCUUCACACUGCACCUAACUGUGCACACAGUACACAAAUUCCCACCAAAAAUAAUAGUACCUGUCAAUCAAUAUAUUGUGCACGCAUUACUAAAAUUUUCAUGAGAUGUUAUGAUUUUUCACGUCUCUCUAUAUGGGAUUGAGAGGUAAAAAGGUCACUCCUUCUAGAAUGAUCCCACCAUACAGCACAGUGCGCAAGUAUAAAACAAACUUUUUUAUGCCUCAAACCAAUUCUAGCUACAGGCAUAAGAAUAAUUAUUUAAACAAUAGGAACAAUCUUCAGGGCCAACAAGAGAAGGAGUCUGUUCCCUUGUUCGUGUCUCUGCUUCCUUCUCUGGCACCUUCAUGCUCACUCCUACUUUGCCAGGGGCUUUGGCAGGAGAAAUCUCACUGCUCUGGGUUGCACUGUGCAGGUUCCCCUGCCCCUUUGUGCACAGCCCCUCUUUUCUCUGUGUCACUAUGCCCAUGUGUCCCAUGGUGCAAUAACAGGUGGCUGUGUCUGCCAGGGUGAGGGAGCGCAGCUGCAGGAGAGCUGGUUCCUGGAGGAGGUCACAGAAAUGCUGAUCCAGCCCUGGAGAGUUAGAGGUGGAGCUAGUGCUUCCCUGCUCAUUGCUGUUUCCCAGACACUGUAGGCCUUUCCUGGGGCUCUGCUGGACCCAGUCCCACCACAGCAGCUCCCUCUGGUGGAGCCAUCCUUGCCUUAGUGUUCAUUCCCUUCCCUGCCAUCUUCUCCUGGUGCGGAGAACCAUAGACAGUGAGACUGUUUCCCUUAGCUGCCCAGAUUAUCCUGGCAGUGGUUCACCCCCAGCUGGAGACCAAAGGUAAUGAGCCCUUGAAUACCAGACCUGGAAGCUCUGGGCAUGUGUCAGGCUGUGCAGGACUGAAACAGGACCAGACCAAAAAAUGUCACCUUCUAAGGUUUUUCUCAAUGUGCUUAGGCUCCAGAAACCACUUGCCCCUUUAGCACAGUCCCUACUUUCCUCUGGGCCAUGGUGCAUCUGUUGUGGCCAUUGCCUCCCCCAGACACUGUAAAAUGUGGCAGUGUCUGUGGCUGUUAGGGAGCACAGCUGCAGAAAGACCUGGUUCCUGGAUGAGUCUGCAGAGAUAGUGACCUAGCUCCCUAGGGAGGUUGACAGAUUCACAGAAGUCUCACAAGGUUGGAAGGGUUGGGUUCAGCCUUCCUGCUCUGGCCAGGAAAGAGUCUGGUCACAUGAACUGUGAAAAGUUUUUCCUUAUACCCAGUCUGAAACCUUCCAGGAGUUUAUAUCCAUCGCUCCUGGUUUUCCCCUUGGGUGCUUUGGUGAAUAGUUGUUUGCCUACCCGCUGAUGCUAUCCCCUGAUGUAUUUGUAAGCUGCCACCAAAUCCCUGCAAAGUCUUCUCUUUUCUAGGCUGAGCAGUCCCAUAUCUGUAAGCUUUUUCUCAUAUGGCUUGUUCUUCAGGCCUCUAAUUACACGAGUGUCUCUUCUCUGGACUCUCUCAAGCUUCUCCACAUCCUUCUUGAAGUGUGGUGCCCAGAACUGGAUGCAGUACACCAGCUCUGCCUUCACCAAUGCCGAAUAGAGCAGGAGAAUAACUUCCUUAGUUUUGCUUGAGAUGCAUUGGUUGAUGCAUGGCAGCAUAUUGUUUGCUUUGCUAACUGGAGCAUCACACUGGUGGCUCAUAUUCAUUUUAUGGUCAAUUAUAACCCCAAGGUCCCUUUUGGUUUUGGCCCUGUAAGUUGUGGAUUUUUGCUCCCCAAAUGGAGCACUUUCUCAGAAACUGCACCUCAAACUUCAAAAAGCAAAACUCGUGACACUUGCCAGCAGCGGCAGCCUCCUGUCAUCCGGCCCAGUGGUGGGAAGCAGAGGAGAGCUGGGGUUGUGCUCCGAGUGGCUCUGCAGCCCCAUGGAGCUCAGCCCGGUGGUGGGAGGUGGAGCGCAGCCCUGCCUCUGCCUGCCUCCUGCCGCCGGGCUGCGCUCUGUGGGGCUGGCAGAGCCGCUCAGAGCGGAGCCUGGCUGUUAGAGGUGGGCAGAGCCAGGGCUGCACUCUGCCUCCUGCCUCCAGCCUGAGCUCCAUGAGGCGGGCAGAGCCAGGGCUGAGCUCCAUGGGGCUGCGGAGCUGCUUGGAGAGCAGCCUGGUGGCGGGAAGUGGGGAGAGCCAGGGCUUCACUCUGACUGGCUCUGCCAAACCCCACAGAGCUCAGCCCAAUGGAGAGACAUGGGGAGAGCCAGGGCUGCACUCCACUUCCUGCUGCCAGGCUAAGUUUCCUUGGGCUGCAGAGUUGCUUGGAGCGCAGCCCUGGCUCUUCCCAGCUUCUUGCCACCGGGCUGCUUCGAAACUCAAAACGUUUUGAAACUUUCGAAAUGUUUCAAGUGCCCUCAUUUUGUUUUGAAGUGGUUUCAAAGCUUUUUGUUUUUUUUCAAUUUCUCUGUUUCAAGCUCGAAAGGCAUUGAAACAGCUUUGAGAUGAAACACUUGGCAAAAUUUUGCACAGCCCUAGUGCUUACAUGUGUAAAAAUGCCCCCAAAGCCCCUGAACCUGUCCCAGGUAAAACAGGGGGUCUAGGGCUGCUGGUGGGCUGCUGCUGCUAGGGAUGCUAAAUACACUUGAGAGACCCAAGGCAGAGGCCUUGCCCUCCCCACUCCCCCUGCCCUCCUCCCGCCCCCUACAGAGAAAGGAAAACCUCCUACAGUCCAUUUCAGCAUGACCACAGGGUAAAACUCCUUCCUGAUGCCAGAUGAGCGAAUCUGUGUAUUUUUGCCACAGGUCACGACAGACUAGGGGUGUCUGAAUACUUUGGGCAUCCUCAACAAUCCCCUCCCCUUGCUGAGCUCCUGCCUUGCCUCAGGGGAGCAUGCCUCCUUCACACAGACCCCCCCAGUGCAAACAAAUGUCAAAUGCUCUUAGCUCUUAUCCAUGGAAAUGCUCAGCUCUUAUGGAAAUUCCUGCCCAGCAGCUCCAGAGUAAAUACAGCCCCUGGGUACCCAGAUCCUCAGUCCAUGCCCAACCCCAGCCCUGCCCCCUUCCUGCCUUCUGGGAGUUUCACCCAUCCCAUGGACACAGGAAUGCAGCCCUCCUCCCUUUUCCCCUCUCCUCUUUUGUGUGUCCCUACCUGUAAGAGCCUUUGUGAGACCCCUGGACAUUAAGGAAUCCCUGGAGCUGUUCCUAUGUGAUUGACCUCCUUGUUUCUGUCCUGUUUUCUAACUCCUUUUUCUCACCAGUGCAGCUGAUCCAGUCCAGCCCAGGGGUGGUGAAACCUGGAGAGACCCUCACUCUGACCUGCAUUGUCUCCACUUACACCAUCAGCACUGGAGAACAUGCAAAGGAGGCCUAUAUGCAGUUUAGAGAUGAACGUUUCAUUAAGAAAACAAAGAAGCUUUCGGAUACCAUGAAGAAAGUAAAAUGUCCUGGAUUUGUUUCUGAUGGAGAUAAACAGGUAGAAAAACAUAAACCAACUACAGCAUCAGAAAAGAAAUCCUACUCUGCAGCCGAGAAAAUUCUACGCAUAUCGAAGGAUGGAGGAUAGUGUGUUAAGACCAUACUGAAGUAUGAUCUGUGGCCAUCUAACAAGGUAUUUGAUGAUUGUGGGCUUCUUACUAAACCAACCAAGUCAUCCAUUUAUUUGAUGCAGUUUCAUCCGGUUUCACAUGUGUCAUGAUACAGAUGUUUUUGUCUGUCUUCAAUAUCUGUUUCAACUGUUUGAAAAAGGACUUUUGGAACUUUGGAUUAAAGUAGUCUUUGCUGUUAAAGUAAGAUUUGUUCCUCCUCACACGCUUGGACAGAAACUAGAACCAACUUUGUGCAAUGUUGUUAUUAAGGCUCACAUUCUCGCAGAAUAUGAUGUCACCAGCAAAAUGGGAACAAAACUGUCAGCAUUGAACAUAUCACCAGAGGAGUUCCUUUUAGGUUUUGCUGAUGAUAGCACACUUUCUGAGGACGUAGUUAACAGUGCUGAAGAAUACCUUGUUAAGGUCCUCAGCCAUCACUUUAUUGCAAAACAUUUAAUGAGCUUCAUUUUGCAUUGUACAAAAGUAAAACUAUUUCACAGCUUCCCCCCA